AUAUGCCUCAAGGGAUGAGGCUGCGUCCGAUCAGGCUGUUGGUGAGGUAAUGGCUCACCAAGCCUUUGACCGGUAUGGGCCAUGAGAGUGGUAGCCCAGAGAUGGACACUGAGACAAGGGUCCAGGCCCUACGGGGCGCAGCAGGCGCGCAACCUCCUCAAUGCACUAAAGUGUGAAGGGGUUAUCUCGAGUGCCAUCUGAAGAAGAUGGCUUUUCCUUCGUCUAAAAAGCCUUGAGAAUAAGAGAGAGGCAAGACUGGUGUCAGCCGCCGCGGUAACACCAGCUCCUCGAGUGGUGGGGAUGAUUAUUUGGCCUAAAGCGUCCGUAGCCGGCCGGGUAAGUUUCCCGUUAAAUCUAACGUCUCAAUCGUUGGUGUGCGGGAAAUACUGUUUGGCUAGAGAGUGGGAGAGGUAAGCGGUAUUUUGGGGGUAGGGGUGAAAUCCUUUGAUCCCCGGAGGACCACCAGUGGCGAAGGCUGUUUACUAGAACACGUCUGACGGUCAGGGACGAAAGCUGGGGUAGCGAACCGGAUUAGAUACCCGGGUAGUCCCAGCUGUAAACGAUGCAUGCUAGGUGUUGGGUUGGCCACGAGCCAUUCCAGUGCCGCAGGGAAGCCGUUAAGCAUGCCGCCUGGGAAGUACGAUCGCAAGAUUGAAACUUAAAGGAAUUGGCGGGGGAGCACCACCAGGCGUGAAGCCUGCGGUUUAAUUGGAGUCAACGCCGGG
rnacentral:rRNA from 1 species